rnacentral:lncRNA from 1 species
CUCUCCAUGUUUGUUUUUCCCCAAGACAUUGGUUUUUUGAAGAGAAAGCACUGCUUUGAGAAAUAUCAUAUAUUUUGGAUUUAAAAGUAAAGAAGACUUCCUUAUGACACAAUUCAAUCCCUCCAGAGCUGCAUUACUCAAGUGUUCUCUUUGGCCAAGAGAAGAGGAAAGAUUAUUGGGUGAAUCUCUCUCUCACUCUCUUUAGGGGAAGCUCUUUCUUCCCAUUUCUUCCAUCUUACCUGUUUGUACAAAAAGGCCUUCUUAAAAGCACCUAAAUACGCCCGGGAAGACAUCUUGCAGACUUACAUUCUUUCAACAAUAAAGAGUUACCGAG